rnacentral:rRNA from 1 species
GAUGAACGCUGGCGGCGUGCCUAAUACAUGCAAGUCGAGCGAACAGACGAGGAGCUUGCUCCUUUGACGUCAGCGGCGGACGGGAGAGUAACACGUAGGUAACCUACCUAUAAGACAGGGAUAACUUCGGGAAACCGGAGCUAAUACCGGACAAUAUUUCGAACCGCAUGGUUCGAUAGUGAAAGAUGGCUUUGCUUUCACUCAUAGCUGGACCUGCGGCGUAUUAGCUAGUUGGUAAGGUAACGGCUUACCAAGGCAACGAUACGUAGCCGACCUGAGCGGGUGAUCGGCCACACUGGAACUGAGACACGGUCCAGACUCCUGCGGGAGGCAGCAGUAGGGAAUCUUACGCAAUGGGGGAGAGCCUGACGGAGCAACGCCGCGUGAGUGAUGACGGUCUUCGGAUCGUAAAGCUCUGUUAUUAGGGGAGAACAAACGUGUGAGUAACUGUGCACGUCUUGACGGUACCUAAUCAGAAAGCCACGGCUAACUACGUG